UUUCUUUCAUUUACAGACAAAGUGCGACAGCUGUAGCGGGAAUUUUAGUUAUGCUAAAGAUAAGGGCUACAUGGUGGUAUUCGGCAAUUGCAACCAUUCCCUUUGUUCCGAGUGUUUUGGACAGGCUACUAGAACACACGGAUAUGUUGCGUGCUUUGUGAAAACUUGUAAAGGAAAAUCAUCUUUAUGUGACCUUGUCAAGGUAAAUUGUGCUACACGCCAGAUAUCAUGUGUAUUUUGUAAUGAAGCUCUGGAUGGAUGG